rnacentral:rRNA from 1 species
AGAGUUUGAUCCUGGCUCAGAUUGAACGCUGGCGGAAUGCUUUACACAUGCAAGUCGGACGGCAGCACGGACUUCGGUCUGGUGGCGAGUGGCGAACGGGUGAGUAAUAUAUCGGAACGUAUCCAAUAAUGGGGGAUAACUAAUCGAAAGGUUGGCUAAUACCGCAUACGCCCUACGGGGGAAAGCAGGGGAUCUUCGGACCUUGCGUUAAUGGAGCGGCUGAUAUCUGAUUAGCUAGUUGGUGAGGUAAAGGCUCACCAAGGCGACGAUCAGUAGCUGGUCUGAGAGGACGACCAGCCACACUGGAACUGAGACACGGUCCAGACUCCUACGGGAGGCAGCAGUGGGGAAUUUUGGACAAUGGGCGCAAGCCUGAUCCAGCCAUUCCGCGUGAGUGAAGAAGGCCCUCGGGUUGUAAAGCUCUUUCGCAAGGGAAGAAAACUUACUUUUUAAUAAAGAGUGAGGUUGGCGGUACCUUGAUAAGAAGCACCGGCUAACUACGUGCCAGCAGCCGCGGUAAUACGUAGGGUGCGAGCGUUAAUCGGAAUUACUGGGCGUAAAGCGUGCGCAGGCGGUUUUGUAAGUCAGAUGUGAAAUCCCCGAGCUCAACUUGGGAACUGCGUUUGAAACUACAAGACUAGAAUAUGUCAGAGGGGGGUAGAAUUCCACGUGUAGCAGUGAAAUGCGUAGAGAUGUGGAGGAAUACCAAUGGCGAAGGCAGCCCCCUGGGAUAAUAUUGACGCUCAUGCACGAAAGCGUGGGGAGCAAACAGGAUUAGAUACCCUGGUAGUCCACGCCCUAAACGAUGUCUACUAGUUGUUGGUGGAGUAAAAUCCAUGAGUAACGCAGCUAACGCGUGAAGUAGACCGCCUGGGGAGUACGGUCGCAAGAUUAAAACUCAAAUGAAUUGACGGGGGCCCGCACA